UACAGAGGUCUCAAGCGUUGUUCGGAUUCAUUGGGCGUAAAGGGCGCGUAGGCGGCGCGGUAAGUCGGGUGUGAAAUCUCAGAGCUCAACUCUGAAACUGCACUCGAUACUGCUUUGCUUGAGGACUGGAGAGGAGAUUGGAAUUCACGGUGUAGCAGUGAAAUGCGUAGAUAUCGUGAGGAAGACCAGUGGCGAAGGCGGAUCUCUGGACAGUUCCUGACGCUGAGGCGCGAAGGCCAGGGGAGCAAACGGG
rnacentral:rRNA from 1 species